rnacentral:lncRNA from 1 species
UUUUUUUUUUUUUUUUUCUCCUUCUUGGAAUCACCUUCCUUAGCAAGUCACCACCUGCCUCCUGUUCAUGCAUCAGCCAGUAUGGCCUGCCCAACUACCCUCACUGUUGCUGCCCGCUUCAUGCGGACGACAUCCCGCUCUCAGCUGGGGGUCCCCUACCCUCUCUAAAAAAUGUAAUCCCAACAGAAGACACCCUCCUCCAAAACGGUCUGCAGCUUUUUGCAUAUUUCCUGGACACGUGUCGCACACCCAUUGGCUUCUUGAACCCAUUAACUGAUUCUUCAACAGCCAAUGAAGAGGCAACACGUGGCCUCCUGAAGCUGCUCCACUUGGCAAAAUUUGCUACAGCAAUCACCUCCCAAAAUGGGGGUCUACAUCCACCAUCUUGAAAAAUCAUUGCACUGAUUAGCAAUAUAUUGGUCAAACAAUUUUGAGUUCCUCAUCAACAUUGACUCAACAGAACUACCUCAUUUAUCUUCCUGACUAUGUAAAUAAUUCAGUGGUAACAUUAAGUCAUUGCAGGUUCCACUAGGGAAAUUGAAGUCUAUCUAAUGAUAAAAGAUACAAAAUAUUUACCACCAACAUUCCAUAGAAUCUCAGUCAUUGCAAUGCAUGCUUCCAAUACAAAAUUUCUCAUCAUCAAAC